rnacentral:lncRNA from 1 species
UCGAAUUUCCUUCACAUUAGGUUCACUUGAUUUUUGCAUAUUAGCACCUUAAGAGUACAUUUGAUAGUGAUUUUAGAAAGUAUUUUUAAUAUUUUUAAUACUUAAAAUAUAAAAAAUUUCAAGUAUUAAAAAUAUUAAAAACACUUCUAAGAAUCAUUGCUAAACACACUCUAACUCUAGUGGAGUUGCAUUAUUUUUUAGUGUUGAAAAUAAAAUUGCUCAAUUAAGUCUCUAAAAGCAAGACAUGAUGUAACAAAGUUAGACUUAAGUAUCCUCUUGCUAUCCCAAUGGUAUAUUGACAUUGAUUUAAACAUUCGGUAUAUAUCUCUUACAUUGUAUAUGAUUUAAGUGCAUUAAGAGUUGUACAAAUGAUACAAGUCAUGAAUUCCUUAUAAAUAAAUAAGUUGUCCAUAAUCGAUUCAUAGAUUUGGGCAAUCUAGUAGAUACUGUAGUGCAUCACCCUCUAAUUGGAGGGAUGACUUAUCUUGGUCGUUGAGAUGGUUUUCUAUGGUGAGUACACUACUGUGAUGCACACUGGACAUGAUCUACAAUGAACCAUGAUGCAAGGCUACCAAUUGCCAUGAUUCACCAAGUCAUUAUGCUACAUGAACUCUCAACCUUGAGAGGAUAUUGAACUUGUGCAAAAGUUAGCAAUUGCUUUGACAUACGAGUGAAAUCGUUAGUUGAUCAUAUAUUCCCUGUGGAUUGGGACACUCUUGAUGAAAGUUGGUAGCAACAAGUAUUCUCAAUAAAGACACUAUAAUAUUUCAUAAGAUUGAGACAACGUGUCUUCUUAAGUGAUUUAAAAGAUUGAUCAUGAAAUCUAUGACACCAUAGUAAUUCUUUAAGUGGAAUCUGACAUAUGUUUUUUAUGAGUUAGAGUACAUCAUUUGAUCACAUAAUAAGUGAGAUCUAAAACUCAAGGAUUGGUGAGGUAAUCUUGAUAGGUAAUUGUUAGAUUAUUGACACUAGUUCAUGAAGAGUCUGCAUGUAGUGGAUAGUAGGUUAUAAACUCGAACUUUGUCUCAUUGUUAUUUACAUAGGAUACUAGAGUGCAAUUGAUUUUCUUUAGUGAAAUGUUGAAUCAACUUCAGAAUUUUAAGGGAACCAGUACUCCUAUGGGUCUUAGCGAUCCCCACUCUAAGCUCAUAUACCACGAUAACACGAUUUAUGAAGGUUGGAUUAGUUCUAGGUUCAAUCUUGUGCAUAAGGGCAUUCUUGUGAUUAUGCAAAUGUUGCACAAGGGAUAGUGAAUAAGGUAUCCGGAUUGGACUAAAUAAUUAAUUAAAUCACUUUGUAUGGUUAAUUAAUCAAUUAGGACCCAUUUUGGGCUAGUUUAAGUGACCUAAGCCUUGGCAGACUCAAUUCACUUAAGCUUAGUAGGGGAACCCUAUAAAUACCCCUUUAGGGGUAAGAGUUUCCAUUACUUUUGGUGAAAGUAGUCUUCCAACUCCAAAGAGAGAGAGAGAGAGAGAGAGAGAGAGAGAGAGAGAGAGAGUCAAAUCAUCAUAUAGAAGAUCUUGAGUGUACAAAACCUUUAGGCAUGUUCUUCACUAGGAGGAAUUGAUUUGGAAACAUCCAAAUCCAAGUAUAAGUUUUUUCUCAACUAGGUCUUUAUCUUAAUAUAGUUUUUGUAGUUAUAUGUUUAUGUUACGAUAGAUUUAGAGAAGUCUAGGAUAGUUUUACUUACACCCUACAAGAUCCAGGGACAUGGAAUGAAGAAAUUUGAAUACGUCCAGCAGCUAUGUCUUUAAUUCUAUUAUUAUCAACAAAGUUUAUCUCAACAUUCUUUCCUUUUGCCUUUUGUGAGACUUAGUAUAGGUCAACUAAAUGUUAUGACGUACAAUAGGUAUGUAAUCAAAUACUCUUUUGUACUACAUUUGUAAUAUUCAUUCAUGAGUUUGUUUACCUUGUAUAUCUUUCCCAUUUUUUGAUGAUUUCGCUUCACUAUUGUUCCACUUUUGGUGGUAGGUGGUAUUUUUCCUCUGAUGACCACCAUAGUAUUUGGAAUUAUGUUUGCCACAACCAUGACUGUGUCGUUGACCAUGUUCAUGUCCACGACCACACCUAGAAUCAUGGGAUGAGGUCACAUUCGCUUCUAGGAAUAGUAUAAAGUCAAUUAGAUGAAAUUGAUGGUUUUUCAAUAAAAACUCAUUAUUUUGUUUAGCAACAAGAAGACACGAAAUCAUUUCAAAAUAUUUGAUAAAUCUUUGCUCUCAAUAUUGUUGUUGUAGGAGCACAUUCAAGGCAUGGAGAAUAGUAAAUGUCCUUUUCAACAAAUCUUCUUCAGUAACUUUCUCACCACAAAACUUCAAUUGGAAGCAAAUUUUGAAUAAUACAAUGUUAUAUUCACUAAGAAACUUCAAAUCUUGUAAUCUCAAAUGCAUUCAAUAAUAACAAGUUUUGGACAAUAUUACAAUCUUUUGGUGGUUGUAUCUUUUUUAAAUUGAUCCAAAGAAUAAAAGGGUUCUUUAUUGUGAGAUAUUCAUUUUUUAAUCCUUCAUCAAUAUGAUGUUGAAGGAAAAUUAAUGCCUUUAUGCGAUUUUGCAGGAAAGCGUAAUUACUUUCCUUAAUGGUUUAUCCAAGGUUUAUGGUAUCAAGAUGAAUUUCAACAUUUAAAAUCCAUGAUAAAUAGUUUUUCCUUAUAUAUUAAGAGUAACAAACUCAAGUUUUGUGAGAUUUGAUAUUAUUAGCAUACAUAUAUAUAUAACACGUUCAUUUGGUAGAAGGUUUCCAUUUCCAAAAUAGAAAAAAGAAUCCAAAAUUAUAAAAUCCACAUUGAAUACGAUAAACUCAAACUAAUUAAGACCCUAUGUAUUUUUAGAUCAAAUGAUAGUUCGAAAACAGUACUUUUCAAUGAUAUAAGUGAGGGUGUAACUUGAGCAAAUUAGCCCAAGCCAAUUCGACGGUGAGCUAUCUGAUCAAGUUGACAAUAUAGAUGCUACUUUGACCUCAAUAUGACAUUUGAUUGAAUUAUUUUUAAAAGGUUAAUUUUGUUUUUUGAUUUUUUUUUAUUUGAUUAAAACCAUUAAAUAAUCCUAAGGAAAUUUUCUUGGAAAAAUAAUCUUCACUUUUAAAACCUACAGGAAUAAUUCGAAAUAGUGAAAGAUAUUUGUGGAUGAUGGAUUAGAUUUCAAGUUCUCAAGUGGGAUAUGGAGAUGUUAGAUGUAGAGGGAUCUUUUCAUCGACCAAUUAGUUCUUUAUUUUCUUCUUAUACAUACUGUGUACCAACACAGCCUUUUCUCAGUUCUAUGACCGUUGGGGGGAGGAGCAAAGUUCUGCGGGCUGUUUGUUUCCAUAGAAAACAAUUUUGGAGAAAUUUUUCACGCGGAAACUUUUCAGGGAUAGCCAACGUUGGUGAUCAUAUAAAGCUUGUCCUGAGAAAUGUGUAGUAAUUUCCGCCGUGGCAGACUAGGGUUACUCCCAAGCUGGAGGCGUAUUGAGGGAGCGUCAAUGACCCAGCUGCAUUUUCUUGGGAAUAUUACUCCAUUUGUCAUCAGAUGUUUUUCAUCGUCCAAACAGCGUUCUUUUACAGUUUCUUACCUCAUAAGCUCAUGUGGGUUGUCCCCAGAAACGGCCAUUUCUACAUCCAAGAAGGUACAAUUUGAAAACCCUAAAAACCCAGACUCUGUUCUUGCCCUUCUCAGAAACCAUGGAUGCACCGAUACCCAUAUCUCCAAAAUUGUAGCCAAGCUUCCUCUACUGCUCUUAGCCAAUCCUGUGAAGACCCUUUUGCCCAAACUCCAGUUUCUUGGUUCUGCAGGCCUCUCCCAUGUGGAUCUCGCAAAGAUUCUCGCUUCAACCCCAAAUAUUUUGUGUAGGAGCUUGGAAAAGAAUUUAAUUCCUACUUAUAAUCUCUUCAAGGGUGUGGUCAUCGGUGACGAAAAUGCAGCAAAGGCUCUCGUAAGGCAUUGCUGGAUUCCUUGUGAAAAUUUGGAGAAGACCAUUCCUCCUAAUGCCGCGCUUCUGAGAGAAAUUGGAGUUCCUAUGGCGUAUAUCUCAUUCUUAGCAACCUUUUUUACUAUACUGGCCCAAAAGAGUGAUAAGUUCAGCAAAGAUGUCAAUAAAAUUAUGGAAAUGGGAUUUGAACCUCAGAAACUGAUCUUCGUGAAUGCACUCCAGAUGUUUUUUCAAAUGUCUGAAUCAACUUGGAAACAGAAGAUGAAGGCCUAUAGGAGGUGCGGUCUGUCCGAGGAUGAGAUUAUGUUGGCCUUCAGAAAUCAUCCCUUAUGUUUCCAAUUGUCUGAAAAGAAAAUCAUGAGCACCGUGGAUUAUCUUGUGAACAUGGGUUGGCAGCCUGCAGCCAUUGCCAGGGUCCCAGUAGCCCUCUUUUUCAAUUUGGAAAGGAGGAUUGUUCCAAGGUGUUCAGUGGUGAAAGUUCUGUUAUUGAAGGGGUUGGUAAAGAAGGAUUUGUGUUUAGGCACUUUUCUGAAGCUCACCGAGAGGGCUUUCAUGGAUAGGUUCAUCAUCAAAUAUGAGAAGGAUGUGCCUCAGUUGUUAGAUGUAUAUCAUGGAAAAGUGGGCAUUCAGGAGCUUGGCCUUGUAACCGAUUGAAGCAGUAGCAGCAUUUGGACUUGGCCAUUGCAAGUAACUACAAUUCCUUGUCUACUUGAGUGUUACUCUGAUUUCCAUCACGUUGGGUUCACUUGAUUUUUUGCAUAUUAGCACCUUAGCUCCAAUGGGUGAAACUCUGGGUAGCUUUUCAAGUUCAUGAAGGGUGAAACCCAUGUGUGGGAACUGGGAAGGGGGCUUGAAAACAACCCCUAUUCCUUGAUGGGGAUGGUCUUUUAAGGAUGAAUAAAUUAUGUAUGAAUUUGGCUGCAUUUUCUCUGUUACAUUA